AUUUUAUAAUUCUUGAAGAAAGAGUCAACAUGGUCUAAUAGACAAUGAUCGACAAGCUAACCUUGAAAUUUUACUAAGCGAUUUUAUAUCAGCUGACGUAGAAACUAUUAAAAAUGCCAAAUAUCUUUUAGUCAAACAAGAUAAAACAAGAAGAAUGGACACUGUUGGAGAGUUCGAGUAUAAUCCCAAGGAUAUUUUGGGUCAUGGAGCCUUUGCUGUUGUAUUUAAGGGUCGCUUCACCACGAACCCUUCUACAACGGUCGCUAUAAAGAGAGUCACAAAGAAGAACAUCUCUAAAAGUCAAAAUUUACUGUCAAAAGAGAUCAAUAUUCUCAAAGAGCUAUCAAGUCUUAAUCACGAAAAUUUAGUCUCUCUUCUAGAAUGCAGAGCGGUACGUCAUAUUCUUUAUUUCUUUAAUUAUAUAAAAAUUUAAGUGUAUGAACGAACGCCUUUGUGAACUUAGGCCGCGAUCAUUGAACGACACGUGUUCUGUGUGACGUUAAACUAUUGCAACACCCUCAUCCAGGGUACUCGUAUUAUGAAAUGUGUUGUAAUAAGAGACAAUUGUAGCCUUACAUUAGUUACAAAAUACGUAUGAUGGUCUAUGAUGAAUAUAUAUAUUUAGUGGUCACACACGUGUGUUUUAAAGUUGUGACACAAAUCAAUAAUAUUCAUUUAAAUGAGUCACUUUUUUUUUCAUUCAAUGAUGCAAGAUUGUUUAUUAUCCUUGGCAACCAGGUCAUUGAUCUCUUUUUGUUGGGAGAAAAUUUGUAUAUAUAUAUAUAUAUUAUAGUAUAUUGAAUAAUACCAAAUUGUGCCAGCUUCUGUGUUAAAAAGUUACUAACGGACUUUGAACUGUAACAAUUUAUAAUGAUCUUCCAAGGCCAGUGUCUUUCUAAAAGAGGAGGCCUUAAUAGGGCUGUUCGUUAACGUUUGGUUCCGAAUCACUAUCUAUUAUUGACACUAGUUCCAACAAGUUUUUUUCUCUUUUGUGUUCUAAAAGGUCAAUUUUAGAACACGAAAUAUGCUUACACGUGUCUCACACUUUUAUGCAUUAAGCUUUUAAGUUAAAAAGGACUGUUAUAUUGUAUUUUAAAAAGCAAUCUUUUAUCACGUGUGAUCAUGCUGAACUUUUAUUAAAAAUUUAGAAUAUUUUCGAAAAAUAGUUGAUUCUACUAUAAGAUUUAUUACGUCGUAGGAGAAAUAUAAAUCAGCUGUUUUCAAGGAUUGUUUACUAUUUCAUCAUCGAUAACCAGCAGUAAAUACACAGAAAAAAAUCCUCCUUGAGCCUACAAUCAGCUGAUAAAUAUUUUUACGUUCUCAUCUAGAACAUUCUGUAUUGUUUGAAAUUCGCUCACCUUAUUAUUACAUAAUUUUUUUUUAUUACAGGAAGGUGAUCAAUAUGUUUAUUUAGUCAUGGAGUUCUGCAACUCCGGUGACUUAUCAGAUUACUUACACGCUAAAGGUACACUCAGUGAGGAUACAAUAUCUUUCUUUCUACGGCAAAUUUCCCGAGGAUUGAAGGCUAUGGUCAAUAAGGGAAUAGUUCAUCGUGACCUUAAGCCACAAAACAUACUUUUACAAAACAAUAGUUGCAAAAAGAAUCCGGAUCCACGUGAUAUGACUCUCAAAAUAGGUCAGAGCUUUGUACUUAUCAAUGCUAGGUCGUCGACCUUGAUUUUAUUUAUAAACACUAAAUAUAUUAACCUCUAUUUCACAUAUGAAAUAUAUUUUAUUAUUCUAGAAUCGCAAUACUAUUUACUAAAUGAUUUUUGUUUAACAGCUGAUUUUGGCUUUGCACGAUUUCUGGGUAAUGGUGCUAUGGCUGCAACUCUAUGUGGCUCUCCAAUGUAUAUGGCUCCAGAAGUAAUUAUGUCGUUACAAUACGAUAAUAAAGCUGAUUUAUGGAGCAUUGGCACAAUUGUGUAUCAAUGUUUAACCGGAAAGGCUCCUUUUGCUGCCAGUACACCAUCCCAAUUGAAACAAUUUUAUGAAAGAAGCAGUAACUUAGCUCCUCAUAUCCCAACGGGAACGUCGGAAGAUUUGAGUGACCUUUUAUUGCGUAUUCUAAAGCGAAAUGCAAGGGAGAGAAUAAACUUUGAUGAUUUCUUUAAUCACAGAUUCAUUAAAGAAAAAUCGGCUCCCGUUGCAGUCCCAAAUACGCGUUCUUCUAGAACUUCAUUAUCUAGUAAUUCUCCGUCAAUGAAAACAAUUUCUGUCUCACCCCUGUCUGGUAUGCCCGGUAGAGGAAAUGCUUCAGCUCCCAGGAAAAUUCCAGGUUCUGAAAAAAGUCCUGGUUCUUCUGGUCGAACUUCACCUGCAUCAUUGGGAGGAUUUACGAAAGUUGAAGCUCCUGUUGAAGAUUUUGUUUUGGUUCCAGAAAACUUACCACAAUCUUAUGCCGAAUUACAAGCUAUCUUUCCUGAAAACUAUGAUGACAUCGAACCAACAAAACACAAGCAUAGAUCAGCUCCCUAUGCUAAAAAACAGCCAUCUAAUUCUCCUGGUAGAAAUCGACCCCAUAGCCUACCGUUUGGUAGUAAGGGAAGUUCACCUGGUUCGUUGGUCAAACCAGUUCCUACUCAAAUUGAAAACUAUGAAAAAAUGCAGUUAUCGAGAUCUUUGAAAAAUUCUCCCUCCUCUCCUUCCAGCCUAUCAUCCACAAGUUCAUCUUUGAUAAGAAGGAGAAAAAAUUCAAUCGAAAGAAUUGACAUCGAGUCGAUGAGUCCUCCAACAGCUCAUUUUACUAUUGGUACUCCUCCUGAUCACAUGUCUCCCGGAUUGACAUGGAGAAGAAAUUCUGGAUCUUUCGGAUCUUCGCCGAGAUCCCGUUCAGGUAUGCAUGCGGCUGCCACAAGUCCAUCAUCCUUGCCAACGAUUGCUCAGUCGCCUACAAAAGUUGUAUCAAAAAUUGACUUCGAAUCCCACAUGGAGAGAAAGCAUUCGGAAACGAAAUUGGAUUUGCCGAGUGGUGGAAGAGUUCAGCUGUCCGAACAUCAAAAAGGUAUUUUAAAAGCAGCCGUUGGUCAAAAUGCACUUGUAAGAUAUGAAUCCGAUGAAAUGAAGACACCAUACUUGACUGACGAACUACUGUUGAAUAACAUUCAUAACGAGCUCGUGAAUAGACUGGAUUUUGCAACAGGAAGUUGUGAAUACAUAAUGCAGCUAGCAGAAGAUAGAAGUAGCCCUGUCUUGGAAAAUGCUAAUGAAGAUGUUAGUCUGAGCUUUAUGAAUGAGCAUAAACAGAAAAUUGUUGAACUACUAGCCCUCUACCUUCGAGUUAUCAAUAUGUUACAAAAUGUUCUCAGUUUAACUGCUGUGGAGCAUAAAAAUGGUCGACUACAAGUAACUCCUACUGUCGUACAAAUUAUUCGUCAAGCUCAUACGAAUUAUAAGAAAGCUUUAAAAGUAUGUAGUAAUAUUAAACGAGAUUAUAUCGAAAAGGAAAACCAUGCUGGCUUUGAUUAUGAAAAGUUAAGCAGGAUUGCCGAUAAAGUUAUAUAUCAGCAUGUUGUUGAUUUGGUAGGUGAAAUUACACCUUGAUAUUUCAGAAAAAUAACAUAUAGUUUGUAUUUAUAGUGUCGAUCGGCUCCUAUGCAAGAACUAAUGGGUAGAAACGAAGAGGUAAAUUUACAAUUCAUAAUUGCUAUUUUUGAAUCAAUUGAAAAUAUAUUUUUUUGGCAGAGUUUCCAGUUAUACAAAAGUGCCCAAAUCCUCCUUCAGCAUCUGUCUCAACAUGCUAAAAACGACAUGGACAAAGAAACCUUAAUUGAUUGUAAAUAAAAUGAACCAUACUGCUUUACUUUUAAAUUAACACGUCUUCCUCGAAACAGAUAAAGAGGCGGUCGAGCGACGAAUGUCGUGUCUACCUGAUACACACAAAACUAUUGUUCCGCGCUAUGCGGACUUAUCUGCUGUAAAACAAAAGUGAAUUUUGAACCUCCAAUAUUUUCUAGUCGAAAGAAUGCAGAUUACGCAAGAUUUAAAUGCAGACAUCAAAUCUCAAAAUUGAAAAAAAGCAAAUAUUCUGAUUUUCACAAAGAAACACGUGAUGGAAAGUGUCUGCAUCAUUGAUCUCGUCCAGAAUGGUUAAAGUCCAUCCUAAAUGACCGAUUUCUCUUGGUGCCGCGAACUGCUUAUCUCGUAUUAGUUACAUUAGCCAAUAUGUGCUAUUCAAUUUAUCUACAAAAUGACAGUACGCGUGAAUGCGGACAAAAAUGUGUUCUUGCUAUGCUAUAAAAGAAUGUAAAUACGACGUAUAUAUGCGAUAUAUACAUAUACAUAGAUAUAUUCAUAUAUAUACAUAUAUAUUUAUAUAUAGAAUUUGUAUUUGUAAAAGUCUUCUAAUUAUUUGUUAGUAUACUAACCUAUAUUAUUUAAAUAGGUUUAAUUUCUUUUUUUAAGAUAUGUCUUUGAUCAUCUAUUUUGAGUAGAUUUAGAUAACCGUUUGUGUUCUAUUAAUGUAAAAUCCUUCACUCUUAAGCGAUAGAAGGAAUGGUUGUCAUAAUACUUUUUUUUAUAUGUGCAAACUCAACUUGUCUUAUUCGCCGUGUGGUGAAAUAUUUAAAUAUACUAACAGCAUAUCGCAAUGUGAAUUUAAAUAUUAUAAUUAGGUAAUUAUAACAUUAUCUGAAACAUAAUUAAACUUCCCUUCUGAUAUUUUAGAGUUUCAUAAAUGUGCAACUCAACAUUUAACAGACAGGAUAUUAUUUUCUCUAUUUAUGCCGUACAAUGUCUUUAGGUGAUCUACCAGUAGGUUUGCUUCCACGGUCCCUUGUUUUUGUGGUCGUGACGGAAGUGUCUCCAAGGUUCGUUGAACUUGUAGUCGAAAAAGCGUUCGUUUACGUGUAAAUCUCGUUGACGUCUAGGGCGUCGCUGGACAACUGUAACCUUUUCUCUAUCGGAUUUCUUGAAGGGAACACUAUCUUGAUCGAAAAAUUCUGCGGAUUCUCUUAAUUUCUUUUCCGUCCAGUCUCGAACCUUCUUCUGAUGGAGGUACUUUUGUUCCAUCUGUUGACGUUCCGUGAACUGUCUUUCUUCUUCCGCCUUACGUCUAACAGUCCUUGGACUAUCCGGUUGCUUCGGAAACCUAUCAGUCAUACGCCAAUUCACCGAAGUAUAACCGUAGUCGCCAUAAGACGUCGAAUAAGGUUUAUUCGAUGCGUCUUUUACCUUCCUAACCCAAUGUUCUUUCGAGAACGUAUUCAUAUUUCAGACUGACAACGGUUCGAAUUAAAACUCGUGUCGUUGCUAUAAUUCCUCAGCUUAAUUUAUAUAUUUUUCUAAUAUUUCAAUGAACAAAUAUGAAGAAAAAAGAAGAAAGCAUAAAAUAGGAUUGUGC
rnacentral:misc_RNA from 1 species